AUACUUACCUGGACGAGGUCUAUGAGUGAUCAUGCAAACUCAUGGCCUAGGUGUGUGACUUCCAUUGCACUUGGGAGGGGCGCCUACCUAACAUUUCCUCAAGUGGGAGAGUGUGCGUCAUAAUUUGUGGUAGUAGGGGCUUGCGUUCGCGCAGCCCCUUC